CAGGAUUGCUGUGCAAGGGUAAAAUGUCCCAGAGCGUUGCUGAGUUUAAUAAGGUCUAGCACCGGGAGUCCGAAAUGUCUCUCUCUGACAGGUUAGGCAGGGAUAGCCUGACAGCGUGAGUUUAUCCCGUCAGUUUGGCAAGGUUCUCCCUUAUGCUGUUCUCUGGGCAUAAAACCUAUUUUGCAUAAAUGCAGGACAUGAAGUUAGAGGUGAAUCUUUGUAUUUAGUCUUUCUUCUGUCUCCCAUUGUGGUGUUAGGUUCUAACAUUUUGUCUCGUUCUAUUUUUCCCUCCUUUUCCUUCAAAUUACACCAUAUUUGAUUGUUGGCCAGUUCAUAAGAGUUUUUAAUACUCUACCAACCAUUUACUGUGUCAUUUAUAGCUUUCUCACUUAUCUGUCUCCCACAGAUCUUCUAAGCCCUUCCUUCUGGCUAGUUUCCCAAAGAAACGGAAGUCUCCAGUGCACGGCUGCCUCUCUAUGGCCAAGUCCAAAAGGAAAAGUUAUAAAACGCUUGCCCAGCCCCAGAGGUCCACAGAUUCCCCAGGCUUUCAUGCAUGCCUUCAAAUGGCAUUGGCACGUGAGUGACUGUGGGGAAGAUUAAUCUGGGCAACAGUGCACAAUAUUGUGGGUUUCCAGCCACCGGCAAAUAUGUGCUGGCUCUCUUUCCCACCACAGAUACUUCAAAUGACAAGGCAUCAGCCCCGGCCAAAAUGCGACUGCGGUGAAAGGCAACUAAGAAGUACUUACUGACAGGCAUCACAGAGCAGACUGGCCACCAGGUCUUGCCAGUCUCCGGGCUGAAGGCCACCGUGGGAAUUUUGAGCACACGAGCCUCAGGGAUCGAUUGGGAGCCUCAACAUCGUGUUGCAAUGGAAGUGAGAAAAGAAAGCAGAGACCUGUAUUUUCAGGGGAAAGAAGGAAGUCAAGCAGUGUUCCUUUUGAAUGGAUGUGGGAUAAAGAAACGUAUGGGGGUCAGCCAGCCACCACCUCUGCUUGAUCCUGAGAAGAGUGGUUUUGUUUUCAUGGGCCAACAAGUCAUCUAGAUCCGCGAUGGAACGUGUGUGAUAUGGUAAUAGUUACAGUACUGUAACACUGUAAUAGUUGCCUGUAGUGCUGCUAAGUCUAGUCUAAAGAAAUAGCCUUGGCUGCUCCUCUAAGACAGUCGUUUCCAGGUACAUAUUCAGGUUGUUUACUUGACUCCCUCCAGUGAAAGGUAUUUGGCCCAAGAAUAGGCCUCCUUGAGGAUCGUGGCCUCUUGAUCAAUAAAAUGAGGAAGAGGAUGAGAUGGAGUGGCCGG
rnacentral:lncRNA from 1 species